rnacentral:rRNA from 1 species
UACGUAGGGUGCAAGCGUUGUCCGGAAUUAUUGGGCGUAAAGAGCUCGUAGGCGGUUUGUCGCGUCGACUGUGAAAACCCGAGGCUUAACCUCGGGCCUGCAGUCGAUACGGGCAGACUAGAGUUCGGUAGGGGAGACUGGAAUUCCUGGUGUAGCGGUGAAAUGCGCAGAUAUCGGGAGGAACACCAGUAGCGAAGGCGGUUCUCUGGGCCGGUACUGACGCUGAGGAGCGAAAGCGUGGGGAGCAAACAGG